rnacentral:lncRNA from 1 species
AUGUACCUGAAUCAGUCUGGGGACACCACAACCUUGUGUGUCAUUGAAGUACCUAAGGCAGAGUCUCAAGAGCACAAGAAACAGAAGACUUUUCUCUUUGCCAAAUCCAGUCCUGGAAGAGCUAUGAUAGAGGAUGAAAAUGAAGAAAAACCAAGUCUUGAAAGAGAAAAACAGGAAGCAGAGACAAUUUUCAAGACAGGUGGAAAUGAAUACGUAUCUCCCACUAGUCAAACCAAGGAAGGUGGCAGAGGUGGGAUGAAGGUGACACAAGUGAAGCAGGAUGUGACUAGUACCCAGGCUGCAAAGCAUCCUACCCCACAAGGGCUGGCAAAAGACAGAGCAGAGCUCUCACACUAUGUGUACGUUGGUGGUCCAAAGCCAGGGGUAGAAAGAACAGCCUUGAAACAAAACACUUGGCAGUGUCUGCAGGAACCAGAGGAUAUAUAUGAUGAUGUUGAGGAAAUGCAGGAUAGACUGUGA